rnacentral:tRNA from 1 species
GCCGGGGUGGCGGAAUUGGUAGACGCGAAGGACUUAAAAUCCUUUGGGCCCGAAAGGUCCGUGCGGGUUCGACCCCCGCCCUCGGUA